AUUUAAAACAAUAAUUUAUUUUAAAUGAUUACAGUGAGACUAUUUUAGUAAUUUUACUAUCUUUAUUAAUCAUUAUCUUUCUUAUCCCACCUACUCCAACCAAUUAUUAUCUUUCUUUAUCAAUCAUUAUCUUCUUAUCCUACCUACUCCAACCAAUCAUUAUCCUUCUUUAUCAAUCAUUAUCUUCUUAUCCCACAUACUCCAACCAAACACUAUUUUUCAUUAUUCUAGACUAACUCCAACCCCCAACCAAACACAAAAAAAUUUUAACCCCACUUUAACCCUGAACUUAACCCUAUUCCUGUAAUAACUACUUUUUUCUUAACCCCGAACCAAACGGAGGCAUAGGGAAUAAAGAAUUGAAUUCAAAAAAAGCUUAUUGUUCUUUUUUUUAGUUAAAAA
rnacentral:lncRNA from 1 species